UACGUAGGAUGCAAGCGUUGUCCGGAAUUACUGGGCGUAAAGGGCGAGCAGGUGGCACUACAAGUCUGAUGUAAAAUCUCCCGGCUUAACUGGGAGGGGCCAUUGGAAACUGUAGAGCUGGAGUGCAGGAGAGGCUAACGGAAUUCCCGGUGUAGUGGUGAAAUGCGUAGAUAUCGGGAGGAACACCAGUGGCGAAGGCGGCUCACUGGUCCGGUACUGACGCUGAGGUGCGAAAGCGUGGGGAGCAAACAGG
rnacentral:rRNA from 1 species